AGUGAACGCUGGCGGUAGGCCUAACACAUGCAAGUCGAACGGCAGCACAGUAAGAGCUUGCUCUUACGGGUGGCGGGUGGCGGACGGGUGAGGAAUACAUCGGAAUCUACUUUUUCGUGGGGGAUAACGUAGGGAAACUUACGCUAAUACCGCAUACGACCUACGGGUGAAAGCAGGGGAUCUUCGGACCUUGCGCGAUUGAAUGAGCCGAUGUCGGAUUAGCUAGUUGGCGGGGUAAAGGCCCACCAAGGCGACGAUCCGUAGCUGGUCUGAGAGGAUGAUCAGCCACACUGGAACUGAGACACGGUCCAGACUCCUACGGGAGGCAGCAGUGGGGAAUAUUGGACAAUGGGCGCAAGCCUGAUCCAGCCAUACCGCGUGGGUGAAGAAGGCCUUCGGGUUGUAAAGCCCUUUUGUUGGGAAAGAAAAGCAGCAGGUUAAUACCCCGAUGUUCUGACGGUACCCAAAGAAUAAGCACCGGCUAACUUCGUG
rnacentral:rRNA from 1 species